rfam:Cavia porcellus supercont2_22 genomic scaffold, whole genome shotgun sequence.
GGGGAUUUAGCUUAGCGGCAUAAGCGCCUGCCUUGCAAGUAUGUGGUCGUGAGUUCAAUCCCUG